rnacentral:tRNA from 3 species
UGCGGCGUAGAGCAACAGGCAGCUCGCCGGGCUCAUAACCCGGAGGUUGCGGGUUCGAAUCCCGUCGCCGCUACCA